UGCCUCUCAGGGUCGCACCUGGGGAGUUUCCAGUACUCCAGCAGUCUCGACUAUGGGAGGAAGAGUCAAGAAGAGGCCUACCCAUUCUAUUCCUAGCUUGGCCAGUGGCUAGCGAGUAGAAGGCAAUCUACGACAAGU